CGUGAACAAGAUAGCUCUGGAGUGGUCAUCAAGCUCGGGAACUUGUAAGCUAAGCCGCGAAAAUUUGUUGAUGUAUUCGUCAAGAGUCUCAUCUUGGUGAAGAGCGAAUAAGUCGAUGCGCGCCUGUUCCCUGUCAUAAACCUGGCCGUACACUUCUCCCAGCUUGCUUUUCAGGUCUGGCCAGUCGGAAAACAGGGUGUUUGCCUCCUGAGAGGCGAUAAACCAAAGACGAGCGUUGCCCUCCAGAAAACUCGCCGCGUAGCUCAAGCGCUCCUCCGCGUUGUCCAGCUGCAGGGACUUCAUGGCGAGUUCGAUGGCGAAGGCCCACUCCUUGAACUCUCUUGUAUCUCCACGAAACACAGGCGGAGACUUAACAUGGCGCAUGCGUGGCCUCUCUCCGCUGGGAGCUUGAGCACGUCUUGGCGUUUGAUCUGAUCCAUCGCACUGACCGAGUGCGAUAAGGUGAUUCAGACGCUUCUGAAUCUCGAAUAUACCGUAGGCGACUAAUGCGGCCACUGCGCAUAGCCCGAACACGACGAAAAGAACAACCAUCCUCUUGCUACCAGUGUAACAGUCCAACUAACUUCAGUAGUCAUUCUUGGAAUAAGCAAUGAUCCUUGCCAUAAUGCAUUCUUAUAUACAUGAACAAGCAAUGAUGGACAUAACACCUAACAGCAGCAGCGUGAUAAUAGCAGGUGAUAAGUGUAUCCUAUUCCUAGUGUUAGUAGUAACAGUGAAUCUGUUACACCUACUCGUGUAUUUGUUUCGAGGGAUUCACUAUCCGAGAUACUCCUAAUGGUACUCAAUGUUUACAAGUAGAUGAGUGCAAAUCCGGCACUCACAGCUGUAACAACAAGACCAAUGGUGACAACAGGUAUUGUCAGAAUUUGAACGGAUCUUACGACUGCCCAUGUCUGCCUGGUUACAAUGGUGCCGAUUGUGAUGCAAUGACUCCAUCCACAAGUUCUCAUCAGCUCGAUACGGCAACACGUCCACUAUCAAGGGAUUCUGAUCCCAUAUCGAUCGCAGUGCAAUCAACUAUGAUAAAGUCAACAGCUCAGCCAGAAGCGUCCUAUACUCUCUACAUCAUCAUAGGAUCUAUUGUAUCAGUCUUACUUUUUGUUGCUGCUUUGUUUAUUAUCAUUGUUGUUCGUCGUAGCAAGAAAAACUCCGCACCUCCCGAAAACUCAACGAGGACAGUUUGUGUACGGCGAGACCCAUCCUACACGACCCACCUCACUGAAAAUGAACUCUACGUCCUGCAGUCUAUUCCCGAGAAUGGCAACAUUUCACCGCCACUCACGGGGAGCUCCAACGACGCACCACUACACGUGACACCAAUCCUUAUGACAACCAAGAUUGUUGGUACAACAACGUUGGGUUUCUUCCCUACUGAGUCAUGUGACGCCUGCGGAUCUAUAAGUCGCACAUCGGAACCCCACGUAUCAAAAAUAUCAUUAUUCUAAUAACCAUGCGCACAAAUAUAUUCCAGUUUUUUUUUCGAAUGCACCUGAUGCUCGUGAUGUACCCAUCUACGAAUACACCACACUAUCCUUUCACUCAACGACUCUUCAGACCAAGUAUCUCCCUUAUGACGAGAUCCAUGGUCAGGACACGCAAUAUUCUGUGGUGGUACCUACACCGGCACCACACCAGACCUAAGUUUACACCUCCUGUGCUUCUAAAAAUCCAUCGCGUGACGCUAACACGAUACGAACCGUAGCUAUAGGUCUGAAUCCAUGUUGAUUAAUUGGUGAAAUCCAUAUGUGUACCUUUUUAUUUUUUUUCCUUUUCUUCUUUUACGUUUUUUACAGUUUUAGUUAUCUUCUUGGCGGAUAAGCUGCGAAUAAGACCAUUCUCAUUCAGUUGGAAGAUGUUGUAUU